UUAAUCACCGUGCAGCCGAUCCCAUCACUUCCAGGUUCUGGCCUCCCCUGGACUUUUGGAUAAGAUGCUAAUGCCAUGGAACCACUGAACAUGAUGAUUUGAGCUGCUUGUCUUUCUAUGAAAUAAACAUUCACUUACCUUUAAAGGCUUUUAUAGAGAAUUGUCCUGUCUACAAUUCCUGAUAUUAGGCAGCCAUAUCCAUGAGGCUCUUUCUGUGCUCCAGGAAAAUGGACUGGAGAUAAACAUGUGAUCUAUGGACAAGCAAUCUUGAUGCUGGGAAGGCAAAUGCAUAAUUUCAAAUUGUCAGAUGAUAGGCAGCUUUGAAUAAGUUCUGUUCCCUCCUCUUGGUGAGAAGCCUAUACAGAGAACGUUCUGGGAUUUAAUCGGCAAACAGUAGAGGAGAGUUAGCUUAGAAAAAUAGCCCUCUCUAACACAUCCACUCUGCAGAUACUGUGUACUGCAAGGAAGCAUCAGACCUCAGAAGACCAAACAGGAAAGCUGCCAGGGAAAGGAUGGCAAAUCUGGACUGCCUUUUGCAACAUCUGUUGGGAGUCAACAAACUGCCUGGUGAUAUGCAACCUGGAUUACACCGAUCAACUUCAGUGCCAGCUCCUGGCCCCAGGGAAAUUGGUUUCCAGGUCUACUGUGCUGGUGCUGAGGAGAACACAGAAAAUUCUUGGAGCAGGAGAAGGCAAAUAGUUUUGGAUGUACUUGGCAAUACAAAAGAGCUUUGUGGAAACUUGAGCUUUCUUUUCCCUCCUUGGAGAACAUUGGUCUUGUGAUCUGUGCCGAAACUUUUUCUUCGUUUGCCAAAAGCUUGGACUGGAACGUACACACACACUCAGACGUCUACAGAGAAUUCCAACUAGCACAUGGCGCUUCGUUUUUGAGGAAUAAAAGAAAGAGCCUACUCUCUGCCGUACUUUACAGUAGAAGCAUGUCAACCAUAAUGAUCACUUUUGUUGUAAUAUCUCUUUCCUCCAAACUAAUAACUUCUGUUUCUCAUGAAUGCCCUUGUCCCUACUUGCCUAAAAUGAAAGCUGUCCUAUCUUUGCUCUCCACUGAUCAGUCAUCACUCUGGCUUAUCAUCUGCAUUCAGGCAGAUUCUACUGAUGAUUCUGGCGAGGCUACUUUUGUUUAUGAAACUAGAAUCCAAAUGUAUUUGCUGAAUAUUCACAGAAGGGGUUUGACCAAUGAAUGAUGGAGCCAGAUUUAUUGAGGGGCUAAUUUGAAUUCCUUUACAUGAUUUCUAAUAAGAAAACUGGUCAGAAGACAAAAACAGGCAAUGAAAUGAAACUUCUGUUGACAGGUGGCAAUAGUGAAGUCUCAUAAUGUGCCAACUCUGGGGUUUUGUGUAGGUUUUCUCAUUAGUCCUUAAGAGGAAGAAUUGCUAUGUUUGUUUUCUUAGGUCAGAGACAUCUUGUAAUCUGCCUAAAAUUAACUUACUUGGUAAGUAUAA